rnacentral:tRNA from 1 species
AUUUACAUAGUUUAAAAAAAACAUUAUAUUUUCAAUAUAAAGAAAAAAAAAUAUUUUUGUAAAUA